rnacentral:rRNA from 1 species
AUUGAACGCUGGCGGCAGGCCUAACACAUGCACGUCGAUCGAGUGGCGGACGGUUGAGUAAUGUCUGGGAAACUGCCCGAUGGAGGGGGAUAACUACUGGAAACGGUAGCUAAUACCGCAUACCAUCGGAUGUGCCCAGAUGGGAUUAGAUAGUAGGUGGGGUAACGGCUCACCUAGGCGACGAUCCCUAGCUGGUCUGAGAGGAUGACCAGCCACAAUGUGACGUAGACACGGUCCAGCCUCCUACGGUAGGCAGCAGUGGGGAAUAUGGCACAAUGGGCGCAAGCCUGAUGCAGCCAUGCCGAGUGUGUGAAGCAGGCCUUCGGGUUGGAAAGCACUGUCAGCGGGGAGGCGUUACCCGCAGAAGAAGCACGGGCUAACUCCGUGCCAGCAGCCGCGGUAAUUC